rnacentral:rRNA from 1 species
AGUGAACGCUGGCGGUAGGCCUAACACAUGCAAGUCGAACGGCAGCACAGUAAGAGCUUGCUCUUACGGGUGGCGAGUGGCGGACGGGUGAGGAAUACAUCGGAAUCUACUUUUUCGUGGGGGAUAACGUAGGGAAACUUACGCUAAUACCGCAUACGACCUACGGGUGAAAGCAGGGGAUCUUCUGACCUUGCGCGAUUGAAUGAGCCGAUGUCGGAGUAGCUAGUUGGCGGGUUAAAGGCCCACCAAGGGGACGAUCCGUAGCUGGUCUGAGUGGAUGGUCAGACACACUGGAACGGAGACAGGGUCCAGGCUCCUACGGGAGGCAGCAGUGGGGAAUAUUGGGCAAUGGGGGCAAGCCUUAUCCAGCCAUACCGCGUGGGUGAAGAAGGCCUUCGGGUUGUAAAGCCCUUUUGUUGGGAGAGAAAAGCAGCAGGUUAAUACGCCGCUGUUCUGACGGUACCCAAAGAAUAAGCACCGGCUAACUUCGUG